GUUCAGUGGCCUCUUCAGUUGUGUUGCCCCGUUAAGGCUUGGAAUAAAACGUCCUCCUCGCCUCAGGUGAUCGGAUCACCAUAGCGGCUUUACUUAAGGAAAGAUGUGCUCAAAGUAUAAGAGAUUAUUUUCUUUGGUUUAAAAAUAUGAAACUGUGUCAUCAUUGUUCUCUCACCAAAUGACCACACAUCGGACUUGCUGCUGAACUUGUUAUAUCGGAUCACUUCUGGAGACGACCACUUUACAGGGAAUUUGCUUGUGUAGCUGG